rnacentral:misc_RNA from 1 species
UCCGAGUUAUCCCCGGCAGUCUCCCAUGAGUCCCCACCAUUACGUGCUGGCAACAUAGGACAAGGGUUGCGCUCGUUGCGGGACUUAACCCAACAUCUCACGACACGAGCUGACGACAGCCAUGCACCACCUGUCACGGGCCCAAAUGGACACUACGUUUCCGCAGCUUUUCCCGUGAUGUCAAACCCAGGUAAGGUUCUUCGGGUUGCAUCGAAUUAAGCCGCAUGCUCCGCCGCUUGUGCGGGGACCCGUCAAUUCCUUUGAGUUUCAGCCUUGCGGCCGUGCUCCCCAGGCGGGGCACUUAACGCGUUAGCUGCGACACCGAGGGGGUCGCUCCCCCCGGCACCUAGUGCCCAUCGUUUACGGCGUGGACUAC